UACACAUGCAGUCGAACGGCAGCACGGGUGCUUGCACCUGGUGGCGAGUGGCGAACGGGUGAGUAAUACAUAGGAACAUGCCCAGUAAUGGGGGAUAACGCCGAGAAAUCGGUGCUAAUACCGCAUACGCCCUACGGGGGAAAGCGGGGGAUCUUCGGACCUCGCGUUAUUGGAUUGGCCUAUGUCUGAUUAGCUAGUUGGUGAGGUAAAGGCUCACCAAGGCGACGAUCAGUAGCUGGUCUGAGAGGAUGAUCAGCCACACUGGAACUGAGACACGGUCCAGACUCCUACGGGAGGCAGCAGUGGGGAAUUUUGGACAAUGGGCGAAAGCCUGAUCCAGCCAUUCCGCGUGAGUGAAGAAGGCCUUCGGGUUGUAAAGCUCUUUCGGCAGGAACGAAAUGGUUGCGGUUAAUAACCGCGACUUCUGACGGUACCUGAAGAAGAAGCACCGGCUAACUACGUGCCAGCAGCCGCGGUAAUACGUAGGGUGCGAGCGUUAAUCGGAAUUACUGGGCGUAAAGCGUGCGCAGGCGGUUUUGUAAGUCAGAUGUGAAAGCCCCGGGCUUAACCU
rnacentral:rRNA from 1 species